GUGCACGCUGGCGGUAGGCCUAACACAUGCAAGUCGAACGGCAGCACAGUAAGAUCUUGCUCUUACGGGUGGCGAGUGGCGGACGGGUGAGGAAUACAUCGGAAUCUACUUUUUCGUGGGGGAUAACGUAGGGAAACUUACGCUAAUACCGCAUACGACCUACGGGUGAAAGCAGGGGAUCUUCGGACCUUGCGCGAUUGAAUGAGCCGAUGUCGGAUUAGCUAGUUGGCGGGGUAAAGGCCCACCAAGGCGACGAUCCGUAGCUGGUCUGAGAGGAUGAUCAGCCACACUGGAACUGAGACACGGUCCAGACUCCUACGGGAGGCAGCAGUGGGGAAUAUUGGACAAUGGGCGCAAGCCUGAUCCAGCCAUACCGCGUGGGUGAAGAAGGCCUUCGGGUUGUAAAGCCCUUUUGUUGGGAAAGAAAAGCAGCAGGUUAAUACCCCGCUGUUCUGACGGUACCCAAAGAAUAAGCACCGGCUAACUUCGUG
rnacentral:rRNA from 1 species